GAUGAUUUCCUCUUCUGGACCUGUGAUUGCAGAGACUGAUGAUAAUGCUGCUAUGUUUGUCUGGGGUAAAUCCAACAAUCAGCUUGCCCAGAACAAGCCAGAGCCAUCUACCGCCAUCAGUUUAUCCGAUGGACUUCGGGCACCACGGACUCUUCCAUGGAAACUCUGAUGUCACCUCUGGAUGGACUUCACCGGCUAAUAUUACUUAUUUAAUACUUUGAGCCCUGUGUGAAUUCUAGCCCAACUUGUUUAAAGUCUACUUAUAUUUUAAAGCUUUUAAUUUUAAAGUAUUGUGAAGUUUCCCUUUUCCUAUUUUCUACAAGUUAAUAUCCCGUCUAUAACCGGCUAUGGUCCAUGUGUAGAGACGCUCCUUAUUAAACCAGAGAAUAGAGUGUCAUAUUUCAAAGGAGAAACCAUCAGUGCCAUUCUUUCUGGACUAUUUGCUUUAAACUUUCUUUGCAUUU